rnacentral:lncRNA from 1 species
CCCAUAAUAAAGUUAUUUUUAUUUGGAUGUCCUUUUCCAUGACUUUGUAAUAUUAAUUAUAGUCAUCAUCAGCCCUAAAUAAAUAGUAAACUUGAAGAGCAUAUGGAUGUUUCAAAAGUAAAAGCUAUAGUGUAUGAGUGACAAACUAUGAGGACAGCAUUAUAAUAAACAAUGCAGUCAGUGGCCUAUGCCAACCAUGACAGAGUUCAAUCCCUUGGGUCUAUCAGUCAAACCUCCUGAAGAGAAUUUAAGUCUGGAGAUGUCAUCAGGAUGUCCUGGUCCAUUUGGGCUGCUAUAACAGAAUACCAUAGAUUAGUUGGCUUAUAAAAAACAGAAAUGUAUUUCUCACUGCUUGGAAGACUGGGAAGUCCAAGAUCAAGGUGCCAGUAGAUUUGGUGCCUGGUGAUGGCCUGAAACUUUGUUCAUAAAUGGGUAUCUUUUGACUGUGUCCUCACUUGGCAGAACUGGGCUAGCUAAGCUUCAAGGGUCUUUUCUAUAAGGGUACUAAUCUCAUUCAGGAGGGCUCUGUUCUCAUGACUACCUUCCAAAGGCCCUGUCUGCUAAUACUAUCACCUUGAGGACUAGGAUAUGAUCAUAUGCAUUUCGGGGGACACAAAUAUUCAGAACACAACAUGCAGUAAUUUAAAGAGAAGCAAAAUCCUGGCGUCAAGGUUACCUGGUGAAUUGUUUCCAAGUCCUACUAAAUCACAGCUGUAGGAUGGGAGUUCAACUUGGGCCUGGGUAAGCAUCAAACUAAUUGCAGAAACUUAGACUGGCACAAAUUUGGGGGUGCUCUUUGAAAAGUGAAUACUGUUAUCAGGUAAUUCACUUGCACGGCAUGUUACAGGUUCUGAAAAACCAAUCAAUGAUCAGCUUAAUUUUGUUCAAUCUAGUAUUUGAUUAUUUUUUUACAUGCUGCACCCAUGGCAAAUAUAAGUUCCCAGGCUAGGGGUCAAAUUGGAGCUGCAGUUACCAGCCUACACCACAACCACAGCAACACCAGAUCCAAGCCAUAUCUGCAACCUACACCACAGCUCACCUCAAUGCUGGAUCCCUGACCCACUGAGUGAGGCCAGAGAUUGAACCCACAUCCUCAGGGAUACUAAUCAGAUUAGUUUCAACUGUGCCACAACAGGAACUCCUGAUAAGAGCAUCUUUUUUUUCAAGAAAUACUAACAACUCACAUAAAUCAAUAUUCUAGGGCAUUUUAUUUAGCAAUUACUAUUUUUAGAAAUUUGGGGAUAAUUUGGUAACAUAUAUAAGAAAAUAUAAUCUUUGGAGUUCUGGCUAUGGCUCAGCAUUGCUGUGGCUGUGGCUGGCAGCUGAAGCUCCGAUUUGAGACCUAGCCUGUGAACCCCCCAUAUGCUGCAAGUGUGGCCCUAAAUUUUAUAUACACACACACACACACAAAAUCUUAAAAUGGACACAGGUCAACUUGAUCUUUCUCAAUAAUUUCUAGACACAUUUUUAUAUUGUUGUCCCUAAUGGUAAAAUGGAUAACCUGAACACUUUUAAUCUAAUGUGGUAUCUAAUUGGCUUAUUCUGCUAGGAGACACAGAUGAAAUAAUACUACUUUUAAAACUACAGGAGUUUCCUGAUGGCUCAAUGGGUUAAGGAUGCUGAUGCAGUUGACACUACAGUGGCUGAGGUCGAUGCUGUGGUAGUUUGUUCCCUGGCCCAGGAACUUCUGAAUGCUGCAGGGCAUGGCCAAAAAAAAAGUAGAAAUGAAUACAAUUUAAAAAGUAAAAGAGUUUCCCUUGUGGCUCAGUGGAUUACGAACCUGACUAGUAUCCAUAAUGAUGUGGGUUUGAUUCCGGGCCUCGCUCAGUGGGUUAAAAGAUCUAGCAUUGCUGUAAGGUGCGGUGUAGGUUGCAGAUGCAGUUUGGAUCUGGCGUGGCUAUGGUAGAGGCCGGCAGCUGCAGCUCCAAUUUGACUCCUAGCCUGAGAACUUCCAAUAUGCUGCAAGUGCAGCCCUAAAAAGUGGGGGGGGGGGGGGGUUGAAAAAUUUUUCCUCUCCAAUUUCCCGUUAAAAUCAGAAGAUACUUGGAGUUCCCGUUAUGGCUCAGGGGGUAAAGGAUCCCAUGUCAUCUAUAUCCCUGGCCUUGCUCAGUGGGUUAAGGACCCAGUGUUGAUGCAAGAUGCAGUGUAUGUCACAGAUGCAGCUCAGAUCUGGUGUUGCUGUGACUGCGGUGUUGGCUGCAGCUUCAGCUCCAAUUUGACCCCGUGGCCCGGGAACUUCUAUAUGCUGCAGGUGUGGCAGAUUAAAAAAAAGGGGGGGGGAUUACAAAAAAAAGAAGAUACUUUUAAUUUUGAAAAGCCUGCUACAAGUUCCUGUCAUGGCACAGUGGAAACAAACCCGACUAGGAACCAUAAGGUUGCAGGUUCGAUCCCUGACCUUGCUCAUGGGUUAAGGAUCUGGUGUUGCAAGGUGCAGCAUAGG